GUGUCGGGAAGAAGAGAAUUAAUAAAACAUUAAUUGUUUUAUAAAAUGCUUUUUUACUAAUUUUUUGGAGGAUAAGCUCCGAAAAUAGUUAAGAUAUAUUUUAAUUUAAAUUACUAUGUGGGCCUAAGAUUAGCCAUCAUAAGAAUUUGUUAUAAAACAAUAAUGCAAAUAUUAAAAAUAAAUAUAUUUAUUUCUAACUUAUUACAGAGAUAAGAGCCUUAACUUAUAGAUGCUUUAUACCUAUGCUAAGAUGAGUAUCUAAACUUACAUAAAAUAGGAAAUUUAUAUGUUUAUUUCUUCUAAAAAAAAUCUAAUUUAGUUAAAAUAAUUAAAAGGAACUCGGCAAAUUUAGUGCUUUCGCCUGUUUAUCAAAAACAUGGCUCUUUGCAUUAAUUAUAUAAGGAGUCAGGCCUGCCCAGUGAUAUUUAUUAAACGGCCGCAGUACCCUGACUGUGCAAAGGUAGCAUAAUCAUUUGUCUUAUAAUUGAAGACUAGUAUGAAUGGUUUGACGAAAGCACCUCUGUCUCUUUUUUAUUUUUAAGAAUUUAACCUCUAGGUGAAGAGGCCUAGAUUCUAUUGAAGGACAAGAAGACCCUGUCGAGCUUAAAAGAUACUAUGGAAGUUCAUAUAUAUCUAAAUAAAUUUUCCGUUAAGCUUUUUAGUUGGGGCGACUAAGGAACAAAAAAAGCUUCCUAUAAAAACCAAAUCGUUAGAUUUUGAUCCAGUAACAGCUGAUUAAUAGAAUUAGUUACCGCAGGGAUAACAGCAUAAUCUCUCUUGAGAGAUCUAAUCGAAAGAGGGGGUUGUGACCUCGAUGUUGGACUAGAAUAUCCUAAAGAUGCAGAAGUCUUUGAGG
rnacentral:rRNA from 1 species